UCUUUUGUGAGCCAGGAGAGGACAAAGUAGCGGGGCAUGAUUUCCUUUGUAUCACCGACGCAGGGUAUAUUCUUAAUUGUGAACCACUGUCCGCUCUCUGGUUUACUACCGGUCAGGAUCUGUUGGAUUCCUCAAGCACUGCGUAGGCAGAGCCUACAAAGGUGUGGAUUUUGACCAGGGCUUCACUUUUUCGGAUUGGGGAUUGCUUUUGUUUUUGGUUUUGUUUAUUUAUUUUGUUUUCGGAGGGGGGGGGGUGGUGGGGAUGGCUGGGAGAACAAAAUGUGAUGUGUAUGAACAGCACAUUGGACCUUUAGCCUCUGAACUGAAACCCGCUCUGUCCAUAGUAAACACUCCUUGCGCUGUGUCCAGACCCUCCUCUGCCCAGUUUAUUAACGUAACAUGUCGUGGUAAGUAGAUUCUUUGCCCUGUACCCUCCACACAUUUGUGAUAGAAUAUUGACUUUUGUUUUUAUUUGUUCUGAAAAUCGUGUAAGCAGUUGUCACAAAGAGGGAGUUUGUCUUAUGUCAUCCAUGAUGUGGGUCCAGAAUUACUUAAGCAGUCCUCUUAAUCCUGAGCAUGGAGCACAAAGAAUCUUAUUUUGAGUCCAUGAAAAUUCAGUGAUCCUCUUAAAACGUUGUUAAACUCCUGAUUUUACCUGCGUGAGAGUGGAAUGAACUCAUUGAAUGCUUACCUGGUACUCAAACAGGAAACUCAAGGUACUUAGGUAAAAGUCUAAUUCUUAAAGGGGGCUAUUAUGAUAAAGAGAUAAAAAAAAAAAGAAAUUUAGAUGAUUACCUAACAAGGUUGGCUGUUGCAACAUAGUUAGAAAUAAAACUUAGUGAGUUAAUCUAGAAAGGGGGUUGCCUUUUGGGGAAGGUUGCACUGGAAAAGGGUGAAUCUGAAGAGAGAAAAAAAAGAAAAGAUUUGAAAAAUCCCCUCCCCUGGGAACAAAGGAAGAGAGUACUGUCAGACAAAAGAAGGGAUUGUCAGUGAUCUAGCUGUGGAAUAGAAACCGCAGAAAUGUCUGUAAAAAUUGGCAUCCGUAGAACAGAGGGAAUAUUAGCACAGAAAUGAAGGGUGUACAAGGAGAAUGAAAAGGCUUACGGAAGACUUGAAUGUCCCAUGGCACUUAAAAUGAGAGUUUAUGGAAGAUUUCCAGAAAGGAAGUGAUAUGUGUCAUCCAUAAUGGAUGUCAUCAAUGGAUGACUUUAGAUAUUUUAAUUGUAGAAAGAAUUUACAGAAGGGUAGGGCAGUCAGGUUAAGGAAGCAUUAUGAAGUUUUAAAAAAAGUUUUUUGAAAAAAAAUAUCAUUGCUUAUAUUUUCUGAAUUGAAGUAGAAAACAUUACUGAUUGGUUAACAAAAUGUCACAGGUGUAUUUGUUACCUGGAGGCCAAAAUUGAUUCCAGCUUGACAGGACUCAUAUCACAAGACCAGGUUAGAAAAUUAAAAACAAGUAUCACUUUCAGAGUUAAACUAUGAACUUGGCUGUUGAUUCUUCAGUGCCCUAUUGUCUUAGCUGAAGGGUAGAGUUACUGCAUUCAGAAGUCGGAAGAGCAGGAAAGGUGUCAAAGGUCACCUACCUUGGCGGUAAAGGGUAGGAUCUCCUCAGAAGCUGUGCGUUGAGGGAAACUCUGAGAACUGAAUUACGGACAUUUUUGUGCCUGUCAAGUUGAAAUAUUCUUCUUAUCUCUCUCUCCUUAAAAGAGAUACCCAAAAGGUGAGUUUCUGAUAAGGUGGAACUUGGUUUGUGUAAACUGGGCCAGCCAGUUUGGUCAUUUGUCUUUUUUGGAUUCUCAUUGUUGAUUAUCCCUUCUCGGCAUCAGAUAAGAGGCAUUUAGUUUAUAUGGAACAGUUCUGGUUUCACCUGGAAUGUUAGCAUUAAAAAAAAAAAAUAGAAUAUCUU